rnacentral:rRNA from 1 species
GUACUUUUUGUAGAACGGACCGGCGAGUUACGUUAUGCAGCAAGGUUAAGAACUAAAGGUUCGGAGCCGAAGCGAAAGCGAGUCUGAACAGGGCGAUAGUUGCAUGACGUAGACCCGAAACCGGGUGACCUAUCCAUGAGCAGGUUGAAGUGGAGGUAAAGCUCCAUGGAGGACCGAACCAGACGUCUGUUGAAAAAGGCGGGGAUGACUUGUGGAUAGGGGAGAAAUUCCAAUCGAACCCGGAGAUAGCUGGUUCUCCUCGAAAUAGCUUUAGGGCUAGCCUCAUGGAUCAUUGAUGGGGGUAGAGCACUGAAUGUGCGCGGGGGCCACAAAGCCUACCAAACGCUAUCAAACUUCGAAUACCAUACAAUGCAGACCAUGGGAGUCAGUCCGCGAGAGAUAAGUUCCGCGGGCAAAAGGGGAACACCCCAGAUCAACCGCUAAGGUCCCCAAGUUCACGUUAAGUGGAGAAGGAUGUGGAAUUGCACAGACAACCAGGAUGUUGGCUCAGAAGCAGCCACACAUUUAAAGAGUGCGUAAUAGCUCACUGGUCGAGUGAUUGUGCGCCGAAGAUGUCCGGGGCUAAACGUGACACCGAAGCGAUGGGUGCAUCUGAAAGGAUGCGCGGUAGAGGAGCAAUGUGCAGAGGCAGAAGCCGUAUCGAGAGGCACGGUGGACACUGCACAAGAGAGAAUGCCGGUAUGAGUAGCGAGAGGCAUGCGAGAAACAUGCCCGUCGAAAGCCCAAGGUUUCCUGGGGAAGGUUCAUCCGCCCAGGGUAAGUCGGGGCCUAAGCCGAGGACGGAAGUCGUAGGCGAUGGACAGCAGGUGUAGAUUCCUGCACUACCGAUGGAAUGAAGCAGUGACACAGAAGGAUAACUCGAGCAGGGUGAUGGUCAACCCUGUGCAAGCAUCAAGGUUGGGUUGUAGUGAAGUACGCAAUCCUACAAGCUGAGGUGUGAUGCGGACCGAAAUUUUAGUAGGGAAGCGAGUGAGUUCACGCUGGCGAGAAAAGCUGCUAGUAUAUCCAAAGGUACCCGUACCGGAAACCGACGCAGGUGGGCGAGGAGAGAAUCCUGAGACGAACGGGAGAACCCUUGUUAAGGAACUCGGCAAAAUGACCCCGUAACUUCGGGAUAAGGGGUGCCUGCGAGAGCAGGCCGCAGAGAAUAGUCACAAGCGACUGUUUAGCAAAAACACAGGUAUCUGCGAAAGCGAGAGCUGACGUAUAGGUGCUGACACCUGCCCGGUGCUGGAAGGUUAAGGGAACAUGUUAGAGCAAUCGAAGCAUCGAACCGAAGCCCCAGUAAACGGCGGCCGUAACUAUAACGGUCCUAAGGUAGCGAAAUUCCUUGUCGGGUAAGUUCCGACCCGCACGAAUGGUGUAACGACUUGUGAGCUGUCUCAACAGGGGGCCCGGUGAAAUUGAAGUAUGGGUGAAGAUGCCCAUUACCCGCGACUGGACGGAGAGACCCCGUAGAGCUUUACUGCAGCCUGAUAUUGAGUUUCGGUAACUGAUGCACAGGAUAGGUGGGAGUCUGAGAGACAUGGGUUUCGGCUCGUGAGGAGACGCUGUUGGGAUACCACUCUUCGGUUACUGAAAUUCUAACAUAGCUCUGUGAAACCAGAGGAUGGACAGUGUCAGGUGGACAGUUUGACUGGGGCGGUCGCCUCCGAAAGAGUAACGGAGGCGCCCAAAGGUACCCUCAGAAUGGAUGGAAACCAUUCGAAGAGCGCAAAGGCAGAAGGGUGCCUGACUGCGAGAUUGACAAAUCGAGCAGAGACGAAAGUCGGGCUUAGUGAUCCGGCGGUAUUGAGUGGAAAAGCCGUCGCUUAACGGAUAAAAGCUACCUCGGGGAUAACAGGCUGAUCUCCCCCAAGAGUCCACAUCGACGGGGAGGUUUGGCACCUCGAUGUCGGCUCGUCGCAUCCUGGGGCUGAAGCAGGUCCCAAGGGUUUGGCUGUUCGCCAAUUAAAGCGGCACGCGAGCUGGGUUCAGAACGUCGUGAGACAGUUCGGUCCCUAUCCAUCGUGGGCGUAGGAGUCAUGAGAGGAGCUGUUCCUAGUACGAGAGGACCGGAAUGGACGCACCACUGGUGCAACUGUUGUCGUGCCAACGGCAUAGCAGGGAAGCGAAGUGCGGAUGGGAUAAACGCUGAAGGCAUCUAAGCGUGAAGCCC